rnacentral:misc_RNA from 1 species
UGCUGCCACCAUCGCUCCUGUGCA